UACGAAGGGGGGCUAGCGUUGCUCGGAAUCACUGGGCGUAAAGCGCACGUAGGCGGCUUUUUAAGUCAGAGGUGAAAUCCUGGGAGCUCAACUCCAGAACUGCCUUUGAUACUGGAGAGCUUGAGUUCGGGAGAGGUGAGUGGAACUGCGAGUGUAGAGGUGAAAUUCGUAGAUAUUCGCAAGAACACCAGUGGCGAAGGCGGCUCACUGGCCCGAUACUGACGCUGAGGUGCGAAAGCGUGGGGAGCAAACAGGG
rnacentral:rRNA from 1 species